AGAGUUUGAUCAUGGCUCAGAACGAACGCUGGCGGCGUGGAUAAGACAUGCAAGUCGUGCGGAAGAAAAUGGAUAGCAAUAUUCAGUUUCUUUAGCGGCGAAAGGGUGAGCAACACGUGGGUAAUUUGCCGCGAAGAUUGGAACAACUUGCCGAAAGGCGAGCUAAUGCCGAAUGUAAUCCUCGGGCGACAUCGUCUGUGGAUCAAAGCUGGGGACCGUAAGGCCUGGCGCUUCGCGAUAAACCCGCGUCCUAUCAGCUAGUUGGUGAGGUAACGGCUCACCAAGGCUAAGACGGGUAGCUGGUCUGAGAGGACGACCAGCCACACUGGAACUGAGACACGGUCCAGACACCUACGGGUGGCAGCAGUCGAGAAUUUUUCACAAUGGGCGAAAGCCUGAUGGAGCGACGCCGCGUGGGGGAUGAAUGGCUUCGGCCCGUAAACCCCUGUCAUUUGUGAACAAACCCUUUCUGAUAACACUAGAAAGGCUGAUAGUAGCAGAAUGA
rnacentral:rRNA from 1 species